UAAUUCUCGAUUAUUCUGAGAGCUAAAUGGAUAUGCGAUUUUGGGCGUGAAGUUCUACUACCGACUUGGCUAUUACAGAGAUGGUUAAUGUGGAUCUUUUAUUCCAUUAUGGAGGUGACUGAAUUAGGAUUUCAGAAGUGGUAUAUUCAAGAACAUUGGUACACAGCUGGAAAUAGUGGUUCCACAUAAGGAGACACUGAUCAGUGAUAGCGG